rnacentral:rRNA from 1 species
ACGCUCGACACCUACGGAAGGCAGCAGUGGGGAAUAUUGCACAAUGGGGGAAACCCUGAUGCAGCGACGCCGCGUGAAGGAAGAAGUAUCUCGGUAUGUAAACUUCUAUCAGCAGGGAAGAAAGUGACGGUACCUGACUAAGAAGCCCCGGCUAACUACGUGCCAGCAGCCGCGGUAAUCUGAGCGGGCUGGCAAGGC